rnacentral:rRNA from 1 species
GACGAACGCUGGCGGCGUGCUUAACACAUGCAAGUCGAACGGAAAGGCCCUGCUUUUGUGGGGUGCUCGAGUGGCGAACGGGUGAGAACACGGGAGUAACCUGGCCUUGACUUUGGGGUAACUUCAGGAAACUGGGGCUAAUACCGGAUAGGAGCUCCUGCUGCAUGGGGGGGGGUGGAAAGUUUCGGCGGUUGGGGAUGGACUCGCGGCUUAUCAGCUUGUUGGUGGGGUAGUGGCUUACCAAGGCUUUGACGGGUAGCCGGCCUGAGAGGGUGACCGGCCACAUUGGGACUGAGAUACGGCCCAGACUCCUACGGGAGGCAGCAGUGGGGAAUAUUGCACAAUGGGCGGAAGCCUGAUGCAGCAACGCCGCGUGCGGGAUGACGGCCUUCGGGUUGUAAACCGCUUUCGCCUGUGACGAAGCGUGAGUGACGGUAAUGGGUAAAGAAGCACCGGCUAACUACGUG